ensembl:lncRNA
GGGCCUGCUUGCCAGAGGCAGAGAGCCUGGUGCGUCCCCGCGGAGCGCUGAGCUCGGGGACUCAGCCCCUGCCGCCCAGCAGAAGAGGAUCCUGGGCAGAGGGGAGACUCUAGUAUCCUGCACUUCAACACGGUGGACGGCACGCUGGAGGAGAUAAGCAUGGAUGAAUGGGACGGAGUUGGCCCAGCCAGCUGAUUAUUUUCCAUUAUAGGUUAUUACAAGAUACUGAAUAGUGCUCCUUCUGCUAUAAAGCCCUGAAACAAUUUGCUUAAAGUGAUAGUUACCUCUAAUGAAAAGAUACAUAACGGAAAAUGUCAGCAACCUUUUAAAUCCUCCACAACUUAUCAUGAAGACCGUCUUGUGCAAAGUGCUCGUGGUGAAGCAACUUCUUUUGUCUCCGAUUCCUCCUAAAUUAGCAAGGAACCAGAACCUGUGUCAUCAACGUCAGAAAAUGAAAGUGGAAGUCCUUCAGUCGUGUUCGACUCUUUGCGAUCCCAUGGACUGGGGUCUGCCAGGCUCCUCUGUCCAUGGGAUUUUCCAGGUGGAUUCUUUACCAGCUGACCUACCAUGGAGAGAAAUUGCAGCUUGCCCUCCGUCUCCUAUUGCUGAUGAUCCUUCAGUUCUACCAUCUCCCGGUUCCUGUCCCUCCUCUAGUCUGUAACUCUUCUUGCCUGUUCAGCCCCUUAUUACCAGCAGUUGUACUGUACUACUGUACUUUUCAGGGUACUGUACGAUUAAAAUGUUUUAAUUUUUUGUUCAUUUUAAUGU